UACGGGGGGGGCAAGCGUUGUUCGGAAUUCCUGGGCGUAAAGGGCCCGUAGGCGGCCAACUAAGUCGGAUGUGAAAUCCCCAGGCUUAACCUGGGAACUGCAUCCGAUACUGGAUGGCUUGAAUUCGGGAGAGGGAUGCAGAAUUCCAGGUGUAGCGGUGAAAUGCGUAGAUAUCUGGAGGAAUACCGGUGGCGAAGGCGGCAUCCUGGACCGACAUUGACGCUGAACGGCGAAAGCUAGGGGAGCAAACGGG
rnacentral:rRNA from 1 species